rnacentral:lncRNA from 1 species
AACAAUGUAGAUGAAAGACAGAAAAACUCUGAUGAAUGUUUUCUUUCCUAUGUAAUAAUCCGAUACACCAUGAACGUGAGAAACAAACGUUUCUUAAAGACACUGACUAAAACAGUGGAGGUUUGAUAGCAAGGCCAUGAACAAAACAACAGCGAGUUGUUUUAUAGCACACACCUUAACUAAUUAUCUUUUCAGAGAGCAGGGAAGCUUGCCAAAUCUGUGUUGAUUACCCCAGCAUCUUCAGCUCAUGAAUACGUAACCAGUCGUCUCAACUUGCAGCGAAGUCACAGACCACGAGUCUAAUACAUUUGGCACUUUGUGACCUGGUAAAUUGCGAAAUAAUCCAUCACUGCCUUGAGUAUUUAAUAACAUAUACAGCAGGAUGAUCGAUGGUUCAGUUCAGAUUAAAAUUAUUUACUUACCCUCUGCAUAAUGGUUGAUUGUCUUGUUCUAUAAGCAGGGAAACUUGGGGUUCAAGUUCCAGGCUUCCAACCCAUCGGUGGUUUCUUGGCAUACAGGGAAACUUGUGUUCCAAGUUCUAGGCUUCCAACCAAUCGGUGGUUUUCUGAAUUUAGUAUCUCAUUGGCAUGCUGCAAACUGAUGUAGUGUCAUAUGUCAACAGAUUUUAAUUAAAAAAAAUGUCUGGAUGGAAGUUUCAGGGACACUUCCCUGAAACCUCCAAACUCAGUAUUAAUUUAUCCAUGUGGUAUACCAUCAGAAUGGGACUUCUCAGCUAUAUAACAUCAUUGAACGCUGGAGCGCCUCCUAUUUCUGUGCAUCCAUUUGUUCAAGACAUACGAGCUUGUUAAGUUCUAGCUUUACUUGUUGUAGAAUAAGUACCAGAGAAAUGGAGCCGCAGGAAGGAAGGAAAGGGAUACCAUCUCUGCUGUCCUCGCAGGGGGAGUGCAUCGCCACCAACAUCACGCAGGUGCCUACUUUCUCUGUAUAUAGUCAUUAUUCCUUCA